rnacentral:rRNA from 1 species
GUAAGGUAACGGCUUACCAAGGCAACGAUGCAUAGCCGACCUGAGAGGGUGAUCGGCCACACUGGAACUGAGACACGGUCCAGACUCCUACGGGAGGCAGCAGUAGGGAAUCUUCCGCAAUGGGCGAAAGCCUGACGGAGCAACGCCGCGUGAGUGAUGAAGGUCUUCGGAUCGUAAAACUCUGUUAUUAGGGAAGAACAUAUGUGUAAGUAACUGUGCACAUCUUGACGGUACCUAAUCAGAAAGCCACGGCUAACUACGUGCCAGCAGCCGCGGUAAUACGUAGGUGGCAAGCGUUAUCCGGAAUUAUUGGGCGUAAAGCGCGCGUAGGCGGUUUUUUAAGUCUGAUGUGAAAGCCCACGGCUCAACCGUGGAGGGUCAUUGGAAACUGGAAAACUUGAGUGCAGAAGAGGAAAGUGGAAUUCCAUGUGUAGCGGUGAAAUGCGCAGAGAUAUGGAGGAACACCAGUGGCGAAGGCGACUUUCUGGUCUGUAACUGACGCUGAUGUGCGAAAGCGUGGGGAUCAAACAGGAUUAGAUACCCUGGUAGUCCACGCCGUAAACGAUGAGUGCUAAGUGUUA